GCCCCGGGAAGAGACCGUCCCGGGGGAGCCGUGGUGCGCUCCUCGGCACUGGGCUCGGGGCCAGAGUUGGGAGGGAAGAGCGUUUCAUGCCUCAGCAGACCCGCUGGUCUCCGCCUGUCCCCGGAGACUCCGGAUUUAGAACCGCCAGAGGCUCCUACGUGGCCGCGGGUCCAAUUACCCCCUGCGGCUUUGGAGGAGAGAAACAGAUUUUUUUUUUUUAAGCCUAGUUACAAGGAUGGAGUCUCCACUGAAAAAGACUGGAAGUCCCCAUUCUUCAGGAUUAGAGGGGAGGCUCGCGUUGCCAGACUCCUGGACAGCUUGUACAGGGGCAUAUCUUGACCAGCAACAAAGUCUUCCCAGGAGAGGAGGAACUAUUGGCCCAGGUCACUUGCAUCUACAACUGGAUUGGUUCAUACACCGAUUUUUCCCUCUCAAAGGGAAACCAGAUUUCCAAGUUCUGGGAUACACACACACACACACACACACACACACACACACACAUAUACAUUGUAUGUCUGUUCAUAGUCUUUGUGUGUUUAUUUGGACUUCCUGUAAUAAAUAGGAAAGAGCUCCGCA